rnacentral:rRNA from 1 species
AUUGAACGCUGGCGGCAUGCCUUACACAUGCAAGUCGAACGGCAGCACGGGGCAACCUGGUGGCGAGUGGCGAACGGGUGAGUAAUGCAUCGGAACGUACCUUUCAGUGGGGGAUAACGUAGCGAAAGUUACGCUAAUACCGCAUAUUCUGUGAGCAGGAAAGCAGGGGAUCGCAAGACCUUGCGCUGAUUGAGCGGCCGAUGUCAGAUUAGCUAGUUGGUGAGGUAAAGGCUCACCAAGGCGACGAUCUGUAGCGGGUCUGAGAGGAUGAUCCGCCACACUGGAACUGAGACCCGGUCAAGAGUCAUACGGGAAGCAGCAGUGGGGAAUUUUGGACAAUGGGGGCAACCCUGAUCCAGCCAUGCCGCGUGAGUGAAGAAGGCCUUCGGGUUGUAAAGCUCUUUCGGCCGGGAAGAAAUCGCACGGGCUAAUACCCUGUGUGGAUGACGGUACCGGAAUAAGAAGCACCGGCUAACUACGUGCCAGCAGCCGCCGUAA